CCUACGGGAGGCAGCAGUGAGGAAUAUUGGUCAAUGGGCUUACGCCUGAACCAGCCAAGUCGCGUGAGGGAAGACUGCCCUAUGGGUUGUAAACCUCUUUUGUCAGGGAGCAAUUGGCGCUACGUGUAGCGUUAUCGAGAGUACCUGCAGACAAAGCAACGGCUAACUCCGUUCCAGCAGCCGCGGUAAUACGGAGGAUGCGAGCGUUAUCCGGAUUUAUUGGGUUUAAAGGGUGCGUAGGCGGAAUGCCAAGUCAGCGGUAAAAUCGCGGGGCUCAACCUCGCUCCGCCGUUGAAACUGGCGUUCUGGAGUGGGCGAGAGGUAAGCGGAAUUCGUGGUGUAGCGGUGAAAUGCAUAGAUAUCACGCAGAACUCCGAUUGCGAAGGCAACAUACCGGCGCCCAACUGACGCUGAGGCACGAAAGCGUGGGUAUCGAACAGGAUUAGAUACCCGUGUAGUC
rnacentral:rRNA from 1 species